GUUUUCAAAUUGGUCUACAUUAAGGUCCAAAGGGUCCAAAAUUAAACUUAGUUUGAUUUUGACAAAAAAUGAAUCGGUUGGGUUCUUUGAUAUGUUUGAAUCUAAAAAUGUUACUUAGAUUCUUGAUUAUUGAAGUUUUUUUGGUCCAGUUUUCAAAUUGGUCUACAUUAAGGUCCAAAGGGUCCAAAUUAAACUUUGUUUGAUUUCAUCAAAAAUUGUAUCCUUGGGGUUCUUUGAUAUGCCAAAUCUAACUGUGUAUGUAGAUUCUUCAUUUUUGGUCCUGUUUUCAAAUUUCAAAUUCUACAUUAAAGUCCAAAGGGUCCAAAAUUAAACUAAGUUUGAUUUUAACAAAAAUUGAAUUCUUGGGCCUCUUUGAUAUGCUGAAUCUAAACAUGUACUUAGAUUUUUGAUUAUGGGCCCAGUUUUCAAGUUGGUCCAAAUCAGGAUCUCAAAUUAUUAUAUUAAGUAUUGUGCAAUAGCAAGUCUUUUCAAUUGCACAGUAUUGUGCAAUGGCAAGAAAUAUCUAAUUGCACAAUAUUGUGAAAUAGCAAU
rnacentral:lncRNA from 1 species